CGAACGCUGGCGGCGUGCUUAACACAUGCAAGUUGAACGAGAAACCGGAAGUUGAUUUUUUCGGAAUGAAACAGAAGGUGGAAAGUAGCGAACGGGUGAGUAACGCGUGGGUAACCAACCUUAAACUGGGGGACAACAUCGGGAAACCGGUGCUAAUACCGCAUAUAUGCAGACAUGGCAUCAUGACUGCAGGAAAGGCUUCGGCCGGUUUUUGACGGACCCGCGUCCAAUUAGCUAGUUGGUGGUGUAAUGGACCACCAAGGCAACGAUUGGUAGCCGGGCUGAGAGGCUGAACGGCCACAUUGGGACUGAGACACGGCCCAGACUCCUACGGGAGGCAGCAGUGGGGAAUAUUGCACAAUGGGGGAAACCCUGAUGCAGCGACGCCGCGUGAAGGAUGAAGGUUUUCGGAUCGUAAACUUCUUUGAUCGGGGACGAAAAAUGACGGUACCCGAAGAACAAGCCACGGCUAACUAC
rnacentral:rRNA from 1 species